UGAGCCUCAUUGUCAUCUGCCUGUCUCCACGAUAAUUCUACGUGUUCUUUUCCUGUUGCAACGAUAUUUCUUUUCCAUCGCUUCACCUGAAUACUUUUUGAUCCGCUUUUAAUCCUAUAUCCUUUGCUCGAUAUCUCCACCUCUUACUUCCUCCGUCACUUUCUCUCUUCAAUCACUAUGAAUGUUGGCAACCACCAUACGAGUGUCACCAUACGAGUUUCGUCUACACGUCUUUUCUCUUAGCCACAAAUACGCGAUGUUCGCUGACCGAUGUUGCCUAACAAAAUCCCUGAAGUUAUUUCCAUCUUGUGCAUGUCCAUCUCCACUUUUAGCUAAAAAAAUUCUAUUUUCUGUAUUUUCUGUUACCUUCUCAAUUUUCUCCAAACCCAACACGUUUCUUAUAAUUAAAAAUUGUUAUGGGUUCAUUUUGCGAAUCAGGUUUCAAUUUGGGUUUACUUGGUAUACAAAAUAUAUUUUAGUAAUUGCAAAUGAUUUUCGAUUUUUGCAUUGAGCUGGAGAUAUAAAAUUCUAUUUUUUCUUACUAGGCAUGAUUACAUAAUCUAUUUGCUAAUAAGGUUGAGAUGUGGCUCGAUUUUACAACUGCAAGCAUGGCAAUGGUUCAUAAGUUUGUUUUAGAUGAUGUGUACACCAACUUAAGAAUAUAAGGUUAUUUUUUAUUGUAUCCAAAUCCGAUUUGAUUCUGGAAAUCGAAAAGUAAAUUGCCACCAUAAACAAAAAGGAUAUAUUAAGAAAUGGGUUAAGUUGACACUCUCUCUACGUUAGAAUAUGUGGUAUUUAUUAACCUCACCUUACCCUAUUCCUAUACGGACACUACAAGAAAAUUCAUAAAUUGCUACGGAAAGUUACUAUGAAAUAAAAACCCGUUGCUAUUUUACUACGGAAUACGCUACGAAACGACUUGUCGUAGCUAUUUUGCUAUAUAAAUGGUUACGAAAUUGCAUUUUGUAGCUAAAUCUUAAGUAGCUACAUAAAGUUGUUACAUAAUCUAAAUUUAUAGUUAUUUUACUACGGAAUAUGUUACAAAAUGGUUGGUUGUAACUAAUUUGCUACGGAAAUGGCUACGGAAUUGCAUUCCGUAGCUAAAUCUUGAAUAGUUGCUACGGAAUUAAAAUCCGUAGCUAGUUUACUACAAAUAAUGUUACAAAUUUUUUGGUUGUAGCUAGUUCUCUAUGAAACUUGUUACAAAAUCCAUGUAUGUAGCUAGUUGGCUACGAAAUAAAAAUACGUAGCUAGUUAGCUAUGGAAUUGGGAUCCGUAGCUAUUUUGCUAGGAAAAUUUGCUACAAAAUAAAAUUUUGUAGCUAAUCUAUUAUGGAACUUGUUACAAAAAGGUGAAUUUGCAAAAUAGCUACGAAAUCAAAAUCCAUUGGUAUUUGGCUACGGAAAAUUCCGUAGUCAAGUAGUUACGAAAUAUGUUUUCGUAGCAAAUAUUAAAAAUAUACAAUUAUCUUUGAAAACUCAACAACAAAAAUAAAAUAUUAUUUUUAAUUGCUUUGAAAAUUUAAUUAUAAUAUAAUUUCUGCAUUAUAAAUAUUUUGUAAUUUUUAGAUGUUGAUGACAUUCAUUUGCUAAUUUUCGUAUAAUAAUAUUAUCCCCAUAUUUUUUAGGCUUUGAAAAUUAUUACCCCUAAAUCAAAAUUUAUUUACCUCAGUCUUGUACCGGCUUUUUCUAAAAAAAAAAAUUGUUUUAUUUUGGUUUUUUAGUAAAAAAAAAAAAGAGAAAGAAUCCUUUGAUGAACUUGAGCCAUGACGUUUGUUUCAAUGUUUUAUUAAGGGUAAAUUAGUAAAUCCACACAAAUCUACUUCCUACCAACCCCAAAUUAGAGGUGUCCCGUUCAAACCCAUCGUCGUCGGACGACGAUCGCAUCUCUCCCUCUCUCAACUUGCCGCCGUUGUUGCUCAGCUACCCAUCACGUCGUCGUUAAAAUACCAGAGGAAGCUAUUUGGUAAAAAUACGCCAAAUGUGAAACUGUGUAAAAUUUGCCACUUCGCAUAAACUGUAGGGAUUCGAAUAGAAAAUUCUGCAUACUUCACAAAACUUUACUCCUAUUGCGAAAGUGGGUAGUAACUGCCAAAACACUGAAACUGUAAGGACCAUAUGCAAACACUUUUCUUUCUUCGCCAAAUUUGUUACUAGAUGCGAAUGAACAAACCACACAGCAGUAGCAAAGCAAAGCAUCAACAACCCCAAUAGCUGAUCGUAGAUGCGAACUCAAUUUUGACCCGAAGUAUAAGCAUUCAAUGCGAAACCCGAUCGUCCCCAAGGAAUUUAACGUCCCUGCUGUGAACAACCAAAAUCAGUUGAACCUUAUUUGACUCCAAAAAGUCAAAUCCAAAUCGAAUUCAUCAAUUCGUUCAUAUAAGCGAACUGAACACCAUGUUAAUCGAUUUCGCAUUCUCCCUACACAUAUCGAAAUCAACUCCGUUCGUCCCAAUACAAGCAUCUUUUCAAGCAAAUCUAAAGCUCCUGGGGAUUUCGCAUUCACCAGGUAACAUUCUUCUCUCUUCUUUUUGCUCCAUUUUCUCGUUCUAUCAUCCAAUGGAUCAGAGGAUAUUGAUCUCUCCAUUAGAUUAUUCAACAUAAAUAAGUCAUAAGUUUCUUAUUUGCUCAAAUUUAUUUUUUUUGCAAUCGAUUAUCUACUUGCAAUGCAGAUUUGGUUGAACAGUUCUUAACUUUUAUGUAGUAGUGGAGAAAAUCAAUCGAUUGAGUCAAAUUGUUUGCCAAUUUAGUGGUUUCACGCUUGAUUGCUGAGAAAAAAUAUAUGAUUUUUGAUCGGCAUUUACAUGAACCAAUUUCUAAUUAGUGAUGACAUUGCUCUUGAUUAUAGUUCCUCUGCUUGGAAUAUCGUAUGUCUAUUCGGGAUUUGUGAUUAGUUUGUUUGAUUAUAGUCUUCUGAGAUCUUUUACCAUGUUUAUUCGUCAAAUCAAUGUCUCUUGGACUUGUAGCUAUUUUUGUACUACAUUCACCAUUCCUAACUAGAGUCCAUUUAUGUAAUUUGUGAGGAUACCUGUGAUUUUUUACUUCUUAUUUUGGGAUGAUUAUUAGGACUCCAAUUGUAAGGGAGUAUUAGAAUUAGGGAGCAUUUUGUGAAUUCAUUAAUGUUGUGGUAGCACAAGAUGAGCCAACAACUGAUGAUUGGGUCAUGUUAUGACCAAAGUCCCUCUGUAGGAAGUUUCUGAAAGGGCUAAUCUGAUUCUGAUCAUCAUUAGUUUUGAAACAAAGAUCAACAUCCAUGUUUUGAAAACUCUGGUGAGCAGUUGAGACAUCCAACUGAUUACUUCCAUUGCUUUCCAUUUUUGUCAAUGCAAGUAAAUCUAUAUAAGUCGAUAGUUGUUUGUUCCUGUGCUCAUGUGAUCAUCAGACCCUGCUCAAGCAUUGUGAAUUAUACACAAUAAUGGGUAAUAAUUGCAAUACUGAGCUUCAUAAGUUUAUGCAGUAACUAUGCUUUUGUGUGGUACAUCACAUUACAAACACCUCACUUAUAUUUUCUUUUUUACCUUAAACACAUUUUUAACGCACUCAUUAUCUCCAUUCUUCAUGAAUAUGGUACUAUAAUCAACAUUGUUUUGUAUUAUCAUUCUAGAACCAACCGGACAAGAAGCACUAAAUUCUUAAUUAACCUUUUAGUGAUUGAAACAUAUUAAUGUCUCCCAUAUGGAGUUGGUAAAGGGUUAAUCUUAUGAUUCUAAGAGGCAACAAUAAACUGAUUUCUUAAAUAAAGUCUGCAAUAAUAAUACAUGUUCUUGGUCAUUCACUCAUGUGGUAAGAUUUAUGUUCUCCGUAAAUUAAAAGAUGUUUGAGGACAAUUUAGUAAUUUUGCUUUUUUUUUUUUUUUUUUUUUUUUUUAACUUUCUAGAUGAAAUUUGUCAUGUCUAUGUUUUAAAAUCUACUCACAUGGAAAAAGGAAAAAACAUAAUUUUGGAUGCAAAAACAGAUUACCCAGUAGCCUGUAAUGUUAUGGUAUUUAUCUUCCUUAACAUAUCUUGUGCAAAAAACAUAUUUUUGUUGUUUUAUUUAUUUAUUUUAUUUAAUAUGCUUUUUGUUACAAGGAAACUCUUCUUGUUCAUGAAGAGUUGCUGCAAAAUGGUGAUGUUAAUGAACUUCUCAUUGAACUUCAAACUAAAGGCAUGAUUUUUGCUCUUUUAAUGUUCAAAUUGUGGGAAAUAGCCUUGUACUUUAGUCACACUACUAAAUAGGCAACGUACUUUUUCUUUUACCCACAAUAGAAUAGGGAUACACAAAAGAAGUCGAGGUUGAUGAAGAUCGGUCUGAGUGGGACUGAUUACAAUGUUGAGAAAAAGAAGAAAAUCAAGAAAGUUAUUGAGAAGUACUGGAAGUGGGAUCUCACUAACAAUACACAACAUAUAUGGCUUAGAAAUCCUAAAAAAGUUAUAACAUAGGAAUAUCAUGAUAUCUACAAGAAGACGAUUAAUGAGUACCUAGAAUCUAAGACUAUAUGGCAAAUGUGUCUUCAAUUCAUAUGAUUUUGAUGGAAAAUUGGUAAGAUUAAUAGCAAUGUACUUUUGCGGGAUAAAAUAAUUUAUUUUUUUUAUUUUUACUUUUAACCGUUUUCUUUUUCUUUUUAUAUUUUCUUUACCUUCCACGGUACCUAAGUUUUGUGACACAUGUUAUUGACUCCAAUGAUCUUCCCUUUAAUGUAUCACAUGAAAUCCUCCAAGAAAGUGAUUUUACAUUUUGGCUGAGUACUUGUGGCUAUAUGUGUGUUUGUGAUGGUUUAAAUCUGAACUGUGUGACUUUAUUUUUAAUUAAUAUUUAGUUUUGAUGGUUUGGUAACCUUGUAGAAGAAUUUUUAUGAUGUAAUAUAUCUAUAAAAAUCGAUGUAACUAUUAAAUUUAUAUUUUUAUAUAUUUUUUAUGAAAAUUAUAAUUGAAUAUUUUGAUUUAA